rnacentral:rRNA from 1 species
GAUGAACGCUGGCGGCAGGCCUAAUACAUGCAAGUCGAGCGGCAGCACGAUAAGAUUUCUCCUCUAACGUUGGCGACGGGCGGAUGGGUGAGACAUGCAUAACCUACCUAUAAUACUGGGAGAACUUCGGGGAACAGGAGCUAAUAACGGCUAAUAUAUUGAACGGCAUGGUUCAAUAGUGAAAGACAGUUUUGCUGUCACUUAUAGAUGGAUCCGCGCCGCAUUAGCUAGUUGGUAAGGUAACGGCUUACCAAGGCAACGAUGCGUAGCCGACCUGAGAGGGUGAUCGGCCACACUGGAACUGAGACACGGUCCAGACUCCUACGGGAGGCAGCAGUAGGGAAUAUUCGGCAAUGGGCGAAAGCCUGAUCGAGCAACACCGCGUGAGUGAAGAAGGUCUUCGGAUCGUAAAACUCUGUUAUUAGGGAAGAAAAACAGCGUAAGAAACCACGGAUGUCUUGACGGUACCUAAUGAGUAAGCAACGGCUAACUUCGUG